rnacentral:rRNA from 1 species
UACGUAGGGCGCGAGCGUUGUCCGGAAUUAUUGGGCGUAAAGAGCUCGUAGGCGGUUUGUCGCGUCGGGAGUGAAAACACGGGGCUUAACCCCGUGCCUGCUUCCGAUACGGGCAGACUAGAGGUAUGCAGGGGAGAACGGAAUUCCUGGUGUAGCGGUGAAAUGCGCAGAUAUCAGGAGGAACACCGGUGGCGAAGGCGGUUCUCUGGGCAUUACCUGACGCUGAGGAGCGAAAGUGUGGGGAGCGAACAGG